GUGAAGCGGCAACAGCUCAAAUUUGAAAGCUGGCCCUUUUAGGGUCCGCGUUGUAAUCUGUAGAGGAUGGUUCGGCGAGGGCUCCCGCCUAAGUCCCCUGGAACGGGGCGUCAUAGAGGGUGAGAAUCCCGUAUGCGGUGGGUUGCUUUAGCCAUGUGAACCUCCUUCGACGAGUCGAGUUGUUUGGGAAUGCAGCUCUAAAUGGGAGGUAAAUUUCUUCUAAAGCUAAAUACCGGCCAGAGACCGAUAGCGCACAAGUAGAGUGAUCGAAAGAUGAAAAGCACUUUGGAAAGAGAGUUAAAAAGUACGUGAAAUUGUUGAAAGGGAAGCGCUUGCAACCAGACUUGUCCGCAGUUGCUCAGCCGGUCUCCUGACCGGCGUACUCUUCUGCGGCCAGGCCAGCAUCAGUUCGGGCGGUCGGAUAAAGGCCUCGGGAAUGUGGCUCCUCUCGGGGAGUGUUAUAGCCCGGGGCGGAAUGCGGCCAGCCUGGACUGAGGAUCUCGCUUCGGCAAGGAUGCUGGCGUAAUGGUUGUAAGCGGCCCGUCUUGAAACACGGACCAAGGAGUCUAACAUCUAUGCGAGUGUUUGGGUGUCAAACCCAUACGCGUAAUGAAAGUGAACGGAGGUGGGAACCCGCAAGGGCGCACCAUCGGCCGAUCCUGAUGUCUUCGGAUGGAUUUGAGCAAGAGCAUAGCUGUUGGGACCCGAAAGAUGGUGAACUAUGCCUGAAUAGGGUGAAGCCAGAGGAAACUCUGGUGGAGGCUCGCAGCGGUUCUGACGUGCAAAUCGAUCGUCAAAUUUGGGUAU
rnacentral:rRNA from 1 species